rnacentral:rRNA from 1 species
CAGGACGAACGCUGGCGGCGUGCUUAAUGAAUGCGAGUCGAACGAGAACCAGUGGAGUGCUUGCACAAAGCUGGGGAAAGUGGCGAACGGGUGAGUAACACGUGGGUAACCUGCCCUGUAGACGGGCACAACAGCUGGAAACGGCUGCUAAUUCCCGAUAGUCUGUGGUAGCUCAAGCUGCCAUAGUAAAUGGUUAAUUCCGCUACAGGAUGGGCCCGCGGUCCAUUAGCUUGUUGGUGAGGUAACGGCUCACCAAGGCGACGAUGGAUAGCCGGUCUGAGAGGAUGAUCGGCCACACUGGGACUGAGACAUGGUCCAGACUCCUCCGGGAGUUAGCAUCAGGGAAUCUUGCGCAAUGGGCGAAAGCCUGACGCAGCGACGCCGCGUGAGGGAUGAAGGUCUGCGGAUCGUAAACCUCUGUAAGCAGGGACGAAUGCCCCAUUUUGUGGGGAGCGACGGUACCUGCAAAGUAAGCUCCGGCUAACUACGUGCCAGCAGCCGCGGUAAUACGUAGGGAGCCAGCGUUGUCCGGAUUUACUGGGCGUAAAGAGCGCGUAGGCGGUUUAGUAAGCGGAAGGUGAAAUCCCGGGGCUCAACUCCGGGGCUGCUCUCCGAACUGCUAGACUAGAGUACGGGAGAGGACAGUGGAAUUCCUGGUGUAGCGGUGGAAUGCGUAAAUAUCAGGAGGAACACCCGUGGCGAAGGCUGCUGUCUGGAACGUUACUGACGCUGAGGCGCGAAAGCUAGGGGAGCGAACGGGAUUAGAUACCCCGGUAGUCCUAGCUGUAAACGAUGGACACUAGGUGUUGGAGGCAUCGACCCCUUCAGUGCUGUUCUGCUAACGCGUUAAGUGUCCCGCCUGGGGAGUACGGCCGCAAGGUUGAAAACUCAAU